UACGAAGGGGGCGAGGCGUUGUUCGGAAUCACUGGGCGUAAAGGGCGCGAUAGGCGGCCCUCUUAGUCGCGUGUGAAAGCCCCGGGCCUCAACCUGGGAACGGGCGCGCGAAAACGGGGAGGGCUGGAGUUCGGUAGGGGAGACUGGAAUUCCUGGUGUAGCGGUGAAAUGCGCAGAUAUCAGGAGGAACACCGUAGGCGAAGGCGGCUCUGGGGCGAUACUCUGAGGACGAAGAACGUGGGGGAGCAAACAGGAUUA
rnacentral:rRNA from 1 species